rnacentral:rRNA from 1 species
CCUACGGGUGGCUGCAGUGGGGAAUAUUGGGCAAUGGGCGCAAGCCUGACCCAGCAAUGCCGCGUGAAGGAAGAAGGCUCUCGGGUUGUAAACUUUUUUGACAGGGGAAGUGCAGAAGACGGUACCCUGAAAACAAGCCACGGCUAACUACGUGCCAGCAGCCGCGGUAGUACGGAGGUGGCAGGCGUUGUCCGGAUUUACUGGGUGUAAAGGGAGUGUAGCAGGGAAGGCAAGUCAGUUGUGAAAUCUGGAGGCUCAACCUCCGAAUUGCAUUUGAAACUGGUUUUCUUGAGUACUGGAGAGGCAGGCGGAAUUCGUGGUGUAGCGGUGAAAUGCGUAGAUAUAAGGAGGAACCCCGAUGGCGAAGGCAGCUUGCUGGACAGCAACUGACGGUGAGGCGCGAAAGCGUGGGGAGCAAACAGGAUUAGAUACCCGUGUAGUC